GACGAACGCUGGCGGCGUGCUUAACACAUGCAAGUCGAACGGAAAGGCCCUGCUUUUGUGGGGUGCUCGAGUGGCGAACGGGUGAGUAACACGUGAGUAACCUGCCCUUGACUUUGGGAUAACUUCAGGAAACUGGGGCUAAUACCGGAUAGGAGCUCCUGCUGCAUGGUGGGGGUUGGAAAGUUUCGGCGGUUGGGGAUGGACUCGCGGCUUAUCAGCUUGUUGGUGGGGUAGUGGCUUACCAAGGCUUUGACGGGUAGCCGGCCUGAGAGGGUGGCCGGCCACAUUGGGACUGAGAUACGGCCCAGACUGCUACGGGAGGCAGCAGUGGGGAAUAUUGCACAAUGGGCGGGAGCCUGAUGCAGCAACGCCGCGUGCGGGAUGACGGCCUUCGGGUUGUAAACCGCUUUCGCCUGUGACGAAGCGUGAGUGACGGUAAUGGGUAAAGAAGCACCGGCUAACUACGUG
rnacentral:rRNA from 1 species